rnacentral:rRNA from 1 species
CACGCAGUAAACGAUGAAUACUAGCUGUAUGCGAUAUACUGUAUGUGGCAAAGCGAAAGCGUUAAGUAUUCCACCUGGGGAGUACGUUCGCAAGAAUGAAACUCAAAGGAAUUGACGGGGGCCCGCACAAGCGGUGGAGCAUGUGGUUUAAUUCGAUGAUACGCGAGGAACCUUACCAAGGCUUAAAUGUAGAUUGACAGGACUGGAAACAGUUUUUUCUUCGGACAAUUUACAAGGUGC